rnacentral:rRNA from 1 species
GACAGAGGUGCCAAGCGUUAGGCGGAAUCACUGGGCUUAAAGCGUGUGUAGGCGGAUAUCUAAGUACCUUGUGAAAUCCCACGGCUCAACCGUGGAACUGCUUGGUAUACUGGGUGUCUUGAGCCAUCUAGGGGCUACCGGAACAAAUGGUGGAGCGGUGAAAUGCGUAGAUAUCAUUUGGGACGCCAAUGGUGAAAACAGGUAGCUGGGGAUGUGCUGACGCUGAGACACGAAAGCCAGGGGAGCAAACGGG